AUUGAACGCUGGCGGCAUGCCUUACACAUGCAAGUCGAACGGCAGCACGGGAGCAAUCCUGGUGGCGAGUGGCGAACGGGUGAGUAAUAUAUCGGAACGUGCCCAGUCGUGGGGGAUAACGUAGCGAAAGCUACGCUAAUACCGCAUACGAUCUGUGGAUGAAAGCGGGGGAUCGCAAGACCUCGCGCGAUUGGAGCGGCCGAUAUCAGAUUAGGUUGUUGGUGGGGUAAAAGCCCACCAAGCCGACGAUCUGUAGCUGGUCUGAGAGGACGACCAGCCACACUGGGACUGAGACACGGCCCAGACUCCUACGGGAGGCAGCAGUGGGGAAUUUUGGACAAUGGGCGCAAGCCUGAUCCAGCAAUGCCGCGUGCAGGAUGAAGGCCUUCGGGUUGUAACUAGCUUUG
rnacentral:rRNA from 1 species